GAUGAACGCUGGCGGCGUGCCUAACACAUGCAAGUCGAACGAAGCACCUUGCCUGAUUCUUCGGAUGAAGGUCUGGUGACUGAGUGGCGGACGGGUGAGUAACGCGUGGGUAACCUGCCCUGUACAGGGGGAUAACAGUUGGAAACGGCUGCUAAUACCGCAUAAGCGCACGAGAGGACAUCCUCUUGUGUGAAAAACUCCGGUGGUACAGGAUGGGCCCGCGUCUGAUUAGCUGGUUGGCAGGGUAACGGCCUACCAAGGCGACAAUCAGUAGCCGGUCUGAGAGGAUGAACGGCCACAUUGGAACUGAGACACGGUCCAAACUCCUACGGGAGGCAGCAGUGGGGAAUAUUGCACAAUGGGGGAAACCCUGAUGCAGCAACGCCGCGUGAGUGAAGAAGUAUUUCGGUAUGUAAAGCUCUAUCAGCAGGGAAGAUAAUGACGGUACCUGACUAAGAAGCUCCGGCUAAAUACGUGCCAGCAGCCGCGGUAAAAC
rnacentral:rRNA from 1 species